AUUUUUGGAUAAUCGCGUGAGGAGAAUUGCUUCUCAUGAGGAAAGUCCAUGCUAGCACAGGCUGUGAUGCCUGUAGUGUUUGUGCUAGGCGAAACCAUAAGCCUAGGGACGAGAAAUCGUUACGGCAGUUGA
rnacentral:RNase_P_RNA from 1 species